GGUGAGAUGGCCGAGUUGGUUAUGGCGUAGGAUUAAGGUGUCUUGAUCAUCUAAUUUCCUAUGGAGCAAUCCGCGUGGGUUCAAGUCCCACUCUCAUCA